AACGCAUCUUGCACCCUUCGGCAUUCCUUAGGGUAUGCCUGUUUGAGUGUCUUUAACGACAUCAACGUGACGCCUCUCAGGCGUCCGUUGGACGUGAGCGCUGCCGUGAUCGGUUUCACCGGCUCGCUUGAAAAGCGUCAAGCCCGACCUUCAUUGGUCCCAUCCCGUCAGGUUGGUGUGAUAGAGCUCCCACGGGUUGCGAAUCGCCUCUUGACGGAUGCGACCUUUUGGACGGUCCAGCUUUGCGAACGGCCCAUGUCUUCAUGGGGCUUCUUGAAUCGGACCUCAAAUCAGGUAGGACUACCCGCUGAACUUAA
rnacentral:misc_RNA from 1 species